CCUACGGGUGGCAGCAGUGAGGAAUAUUGGUCAAUGGCCGAGAGGCUGAAGCAGCCAAGUCGCGUGAGGGCUGACGGCCCUACGGGUUGUAAACCUCUUUUGUCGGGGAGCAAAGAGAGUCACGGGUGGCUCAUUGAGAGUACCCGAAGAAAAAGCAUAGGCUAACGCCGUGCCAGCAGCCGCGGUAAUUCGGAGGAUGCGAGCGUUAUCCGGAUUUAUUGGGUUUAAAGGGUGCGCAGGCGGAGGUGCAAGUCAGUGGUCAAAUUGCGGGGCUCAACCCCGUACUGCCGUUGAAACUGCAACCCUUGAGUGCGCGAGAAGUAUGCGGAAUGCGUGGUGUAGCGGUGAAAUGCACAGAUAUCACGCAGAACUCCGAUUGCGAAGGCAGCAUACCGGCGCGCAACUGACGCUCAUGCACGAAAGCGUGGGUAUCGAACAGGAGUAGAUACCCGGGUAGUC
rnacentral:rRNA from 1 species